AACCUUUGGGUUGAUGAGGUACAGCAACCUCAUUGAACAGAAGGAUUCCUUUUGGUUCGAUGAGGUUGUUGUACCUUAUCAACCAGAAGUAU
rnacentral:miRNA from 1 species